rnacentral:rRNA from 1 species
GAUCACUUUGGCAAUCUGUACACAUUGCUGUGUAACAAUUUGUAUACGUUGGCACAGUGCUAUCAAAGCUGCAUGCAAGUGUUUUUUGAAAGGAUACAACAUGGGAUGUGAUAUUCAUGUGUGUGUGCCUGCUUUGCCCACAGCCUGUGCUGUAUGAAUCACAUUUCUUGCAACUGAAAUGCUAAUGGCAUGGUAAAGUUCAUGUGACAUGACACAAGCUUGAGAUUCAUGAUGUGCAAGUACCAUGAGGGAAAUGUGAAAAGGACUUUGAAAAGAGAAUUAAAUAAAGCCUGCAUUUGCUGACAAUGAAAGCAAGUGUGGAUGUUCAUGUAAUUGUUACUGCAUCAAUCAAUGUUCAUCUUGGUUACUGCAUGCUUUAUAUUACAGCUCAAAACAUGAAGUGUGUGUAACAGCUCUGCUUUGAUUUUUCCCACAUGGGAUCAGUUGAAACAUUGUGAGAGCACUCUUCAGUUUCCUUAUGUACCCACCAGCUUUGUCCACUCGCGUGCUGGCACA